CGGAAAAUAUGGCGUCAGUCUAUUGUCGAAAAUCGCGGUGAAAUACGUUACGCCGAAACAUGUGCAUAAUUACAUGAAAUUGAUAUUAAAAUUUAUAAUUUAUAUAUUUCCAGUGCAAUUAUUUUAUUAAUGUGUGUGUGUUUAAUCAUUUAUUAAGUAAAAAUAUACCAAAAUUAAAUAGUUUUUGAACUUCUUUUUUUUUCUUUUUUUUCGUUUCACAUUGCUCUUCAAUUUGAUGUGUGUAGUGUAAUUUAUAUACAAGUUUUGUGUCCAAAUUUAAUUCAAUCGUUGUUUUAUUUUAAUAUUCUUUUAAUUUUAUACAUUUUUUUACGGUUUUAAUCUUUAUUUGUGUAAAUUAUCGUUUGAUUAUUCGAAUGACUUCGAAGACGUAAUAGGUUAUGCAUGGUUAUGCAUAGUUAUGCAUGAUUAUGCGUAAUUAUACAUGAUAAUUAAGAGAUAAUCCAUAAUUUUUUUAAAAAUAUCGUAAGAUUUUAUUUAUUUUAACAAAAAAAUGUAAUUAUAAAUUCGGUGAUAAUUAUAAUAAAAAGAAUAGAUCUUUAUAAUCUUUUAUUUUAAAUAUAUCUUUACACGUGUUCUCUAUAUUGCGUCUGUUCUAUUCGAAUGUUCGAUGUAUACUGGAUUUCUGUAUUUGUUUUGAUGACACACUCGAGUCGAUAAUAUUUCUUACAAUAAUUCUUACUAAGAAAUUCGUGUUUAUAUACAUUCGACGUGUUACGAUUGUGCCGUCGACAAAUUUUGUUUUGAAUUUGUAACUGUAAGGUGAAAUCGUCGUGCGAGGCGUCACUUUAUCGUUGAAAGUCGUAGCGAUCGGAUCGCUUUCGGUACGCGAGUAAUCUAUUGCGUAUUACGUUAUUUUCAUAUUGCGUAUUACGUUAUUUUUAUAGAUUUUUUUUACUUUUUUUAAAUAUAUUAUUAUUUAAUUAAUACGCGUUUAUUCAAUAAUUAGUUGAAUAUAUUAUAAUUUUUUGUAUAUUUUUUUAAUAAUUUUUUCUUCAUUUUUUCUUAUUUUAGGUUAUUUUAGGUUAGAAUUGUUGGUAGUUCGUAUCAUGAGUUUCUAAAAUGAAAUUUUUGCGUAAUUAUUUUUUUGUUUUAACACAUUCGGUUCUAAUUUUAUAUUUAAAUAUAUUUUAUAUAUUUAUUUAAUUAUUUUUUUAUGGAAAUUAAUAGCUAAUUAAUGAAAUAACUUUUCAAUAUGGUCAAUCAGAUAAUUUACUUUCAAAAAUUUUUGUGAUCGCGAUUACAAUAGAGUCAGUGUUUGCUUCGUAACAGUAUUUUUUAAUGUUUUUAAUGUAUAAUUGUUCUAGUUAAAAUUAAUUAUAUGUUUUUUGUAAAAUUCGAGUCAGUGUUCGUCGAUUAGAUAUAACUUAAACAAUUAUGUCGAUAGUUUUUUAUUUUUUCUUAAAUAUUCGUUUUCGAUACAUAUUAGAAUCAGUGUUUCAAGAAAAUGAAGCGAUCAUCUGCUCGAAAAGAUACUUCCCAGUUUCUUCAUCUGCGAUUACGUCUUGAUUUUUUCUAGACCAUAGCAGCAUGAUGAUGUCCUUCGCAUCUAACGUUCCAGACUGUUCCUUCGUUGCUCCCCGAACGGCCCUUACACGACAAAAAGUACGGGGAGUAGUUACGGCGACCGGUGAACAGCACCUUACGCCAACGUCAACGUUGCCUCCGUUCCGUGAAUCGGCCGUUCCCGGCUAACGUCCUUGGGCUUCUAAUAUUUACACGCUCGCAGCGCGAGCCACCACGCUGAUAUUCCCAACGUUGACGAUAAAGCCAACGGCGUAAAGAACUGAAUUGAAUUUUGCGUGCAAACAGGAUCAGUCGCCUUAGAGUGUAAAUAAUGGCGGGGCAGCGUUGUGACGCGAGCUUUCCCCGAGAUACUGCCCCCUUUCAUGGAACCAGUAAUUCGACGUUAUCUGCGGAUGUCCCUUUAUGAGCGACGUCGCGCGUUGCGGUUUAACUUCCAUUCAUGUAAUUCGAUCGUUUCGAGAAGCCUGAGUGUAUAUAAUAUAGCCUGUGCACCGACGUGAAUAAAAAUAAAAAAGAAAAAAAAAAGAAAGAAAAAGAGAGAGAGAAGAAGAAAAAAAAAAAGAAAGAAUGAAAGAAAGAAAGAAGUACAAGAAGCGUUUGGAGAAGGCUCUGACGACACGGAGUAAAAAAGGGCGUAAAAACUUACGAGCACGAUAGUUGUUUUUCACCUAUACGACUAAGGCAAAAAAAAAAAAAAGGACACGGUGUAAGAGGUUGGAAUAAAAGACGCGUGAAAGAAACAAGACACGCAAGUACUGCAAAUCGAGAGAAAGAAACGUAGUGUAAAAGAAAAAAAAAAAAAAAAAUGUUGCGGUGCUGCACGCCGCCGGUUAGCCCCUGGGCUUGAAAGUCUAUUGUCCUCGGUUCAUUACACAUUUUCAGAAGUGUCCUGGCGAAGGACAGUGGGUGGAGGGACCAGUCGCUGACCAGAUGCAUGACAACGAAACUGAAAUAUCAGAUUUCACUGACGUUGCGUCUUUUUACCAUAGUGCGUUUUUCGCGAGCAACGGCCACCAAAGGCAGAGUGGAAAAAAGAAGAACGGAGGGAAAAAAAGGGAAAAACAUUUUACAAAACGUUGUUCUCCGUCCCAGGGAAGCAGGCAGAGGGGGAGGGAGUGGGAUUUUCAGCUCCGAUAAUAGUCACUUUUGGGGUAACCGAGCGAAUCCAUUGAAUCACCGAUCGCCAAUUUCUCGUAGUCAUCGAUGACGCGUUUAGAAGAGUCAUAAGGAAGAGCUAGACAACUUGUAACAAUACCAGUCUCCAAAAUAAUGUGCUCGAAGACGCAAACACGUCAAUUAAGUUGAUUUCACAGUUACGAAACGAGACAUGGGAAAAAGGACGAGGAACAAACAUUUUAACGAUAAGCUUCGCUGUUGCCACCGCUGCUACUACUUAGGUCGUCCUUCGCUUCGGAAACUUUUAAGAAGCUGAAGAAGAAUAUUCGCAAAUGGAGUACUCAAGUUCCAGUUUGCGGUCAGUACGCUCAUAUUAUACAGCCGUGAUCUUUGUAGAUUACAAACGAAAGUCUUUUCUCUUAGCGGCGUUCCGGCGAUGUUAAACUUUUGUGGGCCAGCAGCCGUCCAUUACGGUGAUAACAUUGCAGCCAUCAACCUUACCACUGCUUACCACUCCCCAUCUCUCGAAGAAGAAGAAGAAACUGCUUUUAAUCUUCAAAGAGGAUUCUUUUAACCCUUUGUACAUAAGUAGAUUUCUCCUUCCUUAUGAAACGAAACUUGUCAUAAUUUCUUGGUGUUUCUCAAACUUAAAUAAAUACGAAUCUUUAUUUAUAUCGUUCGAUGGGAACGAAGCAUAUGACAACUUGGCUUAAUAAUGAUAAUUCGGCAUACGAAUGAAGAAUUGUUGAAAGUACAACAGGUAGUGCAGAAACUUUCAACUGAAAAGGAAGAAAGACGGAGAAGAAAACCUGGCUAAUCGGCAAUACGAUCGGGCCGAUCGUAAAGCGAAAGGAAAGGCUUUCGCCCUGAAACGUAGUCACCUGUAAUCUGCCUGUAAACGGUUUAAAGUACGCUAAUUCUCCUCUACCUCGGGAAAACAUCUCCCCAGACCAAGCCUCUUAGGAAACGCUCGUUAGGCUUGCCUUGUAAGCGGCCGGUAUACCUGCGUGCCGCGUUUCACCUCCUCGUUGAUUCGAUCUCUCCAGAUCCCGGCGAGAACACGUGAGAAUCGAAAGUCGCAGAAACGGACCGCGACCGUUUGAAAACGGAUGAUGCAACGUUGCUCUCCGCGCAAGCGCAGUGGCGGUGGUGGGGGCGGUUCGACACGCGUCUAAUACCGAUUAUACCGCGUUUAACACGAGCGUCUUCCGUUUCGACCACGCAACGAAUAGAAACGCGGCGGUUUCAAGCGCAUGGUCGUCGUUAAGAGAACGAACGUGUUUCUCGGACGAAUCGCCCGCUCGCGUGUAUUUAAUCGGAUCGUCGGUGAACGCCCGAUCCAGACCGGACGCUCCGUAUCAAUCGGCCUCGCGUGAAUGCUACUACUACUGCUAUUACCACUGCUACCGUCACUGCAGGUAAUGAUAUCGUAGGGCGGGGACGAAGGAUUUCGCGUUUGUGUAUCUAUAGGUAUGUAUAAUGUACCAGAGGGGUGAUAUUAGGAGGGAGGAAGGGAGGGAAAGGGCUCGUUAUGGUCGGUUUUGGGGCAGGAUAUGGUUUGAGAGUAGUGUAUUUAAGAGCCGUCGUACGUGUUUAAUAUACGGGAAGCGUGGAUGUUACGUUAUCAUCAAGAUCGACGUGUAGUUGUAACCUUGAUAAUUUGCAGAGAGAUCUUCUCUUCAUAUUUUGAAUGGUAAAUAAAUCUUACGCGUGUGCAUUAUGUGUUAUCUUGUUUCUUUUUUUUUUUUUUUUUUUGAAAAUAACUUUACUCGUGGAAGGGAAAAUUUGUUCGAAAUGAUUCGAAGAUAAGAAAAUGAAUGUAAGAUAAUGGAAAUAUCUUGUAGUUAAUCGGAUUUAUCGAACGUGCAAGAAGAAAUGUGUUUAUCGAACAUUUAUUUGCAUUAUCAUUAGCAAAACUUAGCAACAACAAUGUAAUAAAAUAAACAAAAAUGUAAUAAAGAAUUGUUAAUUUUUGUUAGCAUGACGAGAAAA